GACCGCUCCGAUGGCUUAGUGGUUAGAGCGUCCUCCUCGGAUGCGGGAGUUAGUGGAUUCGAUCCCAGGCCGAGUCA